CUUAUUUUACUUUACCAUGAAAAUUCAUAUACUGUACGACAGGCAAUAAAAUUUGUUACAUGGCCUUUAUUGUAUUUAUCAAUCAAUAUUCAAAUCAACAUGGCUUUCUCGCCUGCAGUAGGGGGCUUAUGCAGUGACACUCGCCCCCUCUCAAUGACCUGCCUCGAGUGAGAACAGAGACUUCUGCUUGACCACAGUGGUUUAAACAGUCCAUGGUCUGGCCGUGCAACGUCCUUUAAAACAUUUUGGGCCCUUGUCCGUACUCUUCUGGUAUAGAUGGUAGGGAGAGGUGCUCUGAUGGUCCCUUUGGCAGUAAAAGUCAGGUGUCUAAUUGCAACACUGUCUGCAGAAGCUCUUUCCUUCUUGCUUAAACCACCUUUCUGAUGCCUAACAUAGAUCCUCCCCCAACGUGCAGUGCCAGCCUCUGGCUCCAGGCUGGGACUUGCUGGAUG